rnacentral:rRNA from 1 species
GAUGAACGCUGGCGGCGUGCCUAAUACAUGCAAGUCGAGCGCACGGACGAGAAGCUUGCUUCUCUGAUGUUAGCGGCGGACGGGUGAGUAACACGUGGAUCACCCCCCUAUAAGACUGGGAUAACUUCGGGAAACCGGCGCUUAUACCGGAUAAUAUUUUGAACCGCAUGGUUCACAAGUGAAAGACGGUCUUACUGUCACUUAUAGAUGGAUCCGCGCUGCAUUAGCUAGUUGGUAAGGUAACGGCUUACCAAGGCAACGAUGCAUAGCCGACCUGAGAGGGUGAUCGGCCACACUGGAACGGAGACACGGUCCGGACUCCUACGGGAGGCGGCAGUAGGGAAUCUUCCGCAAUGGGCGAAAGCCUGACGGAGCAACGCCGCGUGAGUGAUGAAGGUCUUCGGAUCGUAAAACUCUGUUAUUAGGGAAGAACAUAUGUGUAAGUAACUGUGCACAUCGUGACGGUACCUAAUCAGAAAGCCACGGCUAACUACGUG